rnacentral:tRNA from 1 species
GAUCCUUUAGCUCAGUUGGUUUAGAGCGCUUGCUUGACAGGCAAGAGGUCAGCAGUUCAAAUCUGCUAAGGAUCACCA